CGCAGGUACACAGUGGAGAUGUUGAGGAACUGGUGUAGGAACAGUAGAGGAACUGUCUAUAGAGGAACUUCAGCAGCUUCUGGAUGAGCAGCAGGGAAUGGCAGCUGAGGACCCUUUCUGAAGAGGAGGGGGAGCAUCAACAAUCAGUGCAGCAAUGUUCUUCUGCAAUAAAGGAAAUCCUGAAAAACUGGACAGAGCUACACACAUUUGUAGAGAAGACCCAGACAGAGGAAAAGCUAAUUGCUGCAUUCACUUGCUUAAUGACGAUGUCAUGUCAUGCUACAGAACAGUGUUACAGACAGAAGCAGACAACCUUAGACCAGCUUUUAAAUCUGAAAAGGUUGAAACCUACUGAGUCAGAGCAAGUCCUAGUGAGCUACAGACCCUCCCAAGGAGAGAAACGACACCAGAGAGCCAGACUUCUUGAUGCUCUUCUCCUUCCAAAGAGUUACCACCUUCCGUUCAUCCUCCCUUCCUACAAGCCAGAGAUGUCAACUUGAAAGCCAUUCCUCCUCUUUUCCUUGGACUGAAAUGUGCAUGCAAUUGUAUAAACUCUCGAGAUGGCCCCUGAGGAAAGGUUGAGGUUUGGAAGCCCUAAGACUGCGAUUUACGUGACACUUCCAAUGCCCUGAAGAAGAAGAAGAAGAAGGAAACCUUGAUGUGGCAGAGACAGUCUUGGCUGCCCCACCCACCCCAUCCCUGAGGUCAGCGGUGAUCCACCAUGUUCUCCCACUGAGCUCCGGGACAGGCUGGGCCUCUGGAGCCACCCUUCCUGCUCAUCUACCUUCCAGCCGAGACCCACAAGGCUUGGGCAUUUAGGAGCAGCUCCUUGGCUCGGCUGUCUAAUGAUGUGGGCAUAAUGCAAAAAGUGCCCUUUGCCUUCUCCCUCGGCUGCAAACAGAGCAGGCUGGAGGUCUCUGUGGAUAUUGGGACUGGAAAUAUAGCAGAAUUGUUCUUAU
rnacentral:lncRNA from 1 species